AUUGAACGCUGGCGGCAGGCCUAACACAUGCAAGUCGAGCGGAGCGGCGGACGGGUGAGUAAUGCCUAGGAAUCUAACUGAUAUAGGGGGAUAAGGUCAGGACACGGGCGCUAAGACAGCAUAAUAUAAGAUGAGCCUAGGUCGGAGUAGCUAGUUGGUGGGGUAAAGGCGUACCAGGGAGACGAUCCGUAACUGGUCUGAGAGGAUGAUCAGUAACACUGGAACUGAGACACGGUCCAGACUCCUACGGGAGGCAGCAGUGGGGAAUCUUUGACAAUUGGCGAAAGCCUGAUCCAGCCAUGCCGUGUGUGUGAAGAAGGUCUUCGGAUUGUAAAGCACUUUAAGUUGUGAGUCGGUACCAACAGAAUAAGCACCGGCUAACUACGUGCCAGCAGCCGCGGUAAUAC
rnacentral:rRNA from 1 species